CAUAGGGGGGAUGAAUGUCGUGGUGGUUAGUGGGCCACACCGGGUAAGCUGGUUUGGCGAUGCGGG
rnacentral:rRNA from 14 species